rnacentral:rRNA from 1 species
GACGAACGCUGGCGGCGUGCUUAACACAUGCAAGUCGAACGGAGAGGCCCUGCUUUUGUGGGGUGCUCGAGUGGCGAACGGGUGAGUAACACGUGAGUAACCUGCCCUUGACUUUGGGAUAACUUCAGGAAACUGGGGCUAAUACCGGAUAGGAGCUCCUGCUGCAUGGUGGGGGUUGGAAAGUUUCGGCGGUUGGGGAUGGACUCGCGGCUUAUCAGCUUGUUGGUGGGGUAGUGGCUUACCAAGGCUUUGACGGGUAGCCGGCCUGAGAGGGUGACCGGCCACAUUGGGACUGAGAUACGGCCCAGACUCCUACGGGAGGCAGCAGUGGGGAAUAUUGCACAAUGGGCGGAAGCCUGAUGCAGCGACGCCGCGUGCGGGAUGACGGCCUUCGGGUUGUAAACCGCUUUCGCCUGUGACGAAGCGUGAGUGACGGUAAUGGGUAAAGAAGCACCGGCUAACUACGUGCCAGCAGCCGCGGUGAUACGUAGGGUGCGAGCGUUGUCCGGAUUUAUUGGGCGUAAAGGGCUCGUAGGUGGUUGAUCGCGUCGGAAGUGUAAUCUUGGGGCUUAACCCUGAGCGUGCUUUCGAUACGGGUUGACUUGAGGAAGGUAGGGGAGAAUGGAAUUCCUGGUGGAGCGGUGGAAUGCGCAGAUAUCAGGAGGAACACCAGUGGCGAAGGCGGUUCUCUGGGCCUUUCCUGACGCUGAGGAGCGAAAGCGUGGGGAGCGAACAGGCUUAGAUACCCUGGUAGUCCACGCUGUAAACGGUGGGUACUAGGUGUGGGGUCCAUUCCACGGGUUCCGUGCCGUAGCUAACGCUUUAAGUACCCCGCCUGGGGAGUACGGCCGCAAGGCUAAAACUCAAAGGAAUUGACGGGGCCCCGCACAAGCGGCGGAGCAUGCGGAUUAAUUCGAUGCAACGCGUAGAACCUUACCUGGGUUUGACAUGGAUCGGGAGUGCUCAGAGAUGGGUGUGCCUCUUUUGGGGUCGGUUCACAGGUGGUGCAUGGCUGUCGUCAGCUCGUGUCGUGAGAUGUUGGGUUAAGUCCCGCAACGAGCGCAACCCUUGUUCACUGUUGCCAGCACGUUAUGGUGGGGACUCAGUGGAGACCGCCGGGGUCAACUCGGAGGAAGGUGGGGAUGACGUCAAGUCAUCAUGCCCCUUAUGUCCAGGGCUUCACGCAUGCUACAAUGGCUGGUACAGAGAGUGGCGAGCCUGUGAGGGUGAGCGAAUCUCGGAAAGCCGGUCUCAGUUCGGAUUGGGGUCUGCAACUCGACCUCUUGAAGUCGGAGUCGCUAGUAAUCGCAGAUCAGCAACGCUGCGGUGAAUACGUUCCCGGGGCU